CCUACGGGAUGCAGCAGUGGGGAAUAUUGCACAAUGGGGGAAACCCUGAUGCAGCGACGCCGCGUGAGUGAAGAAGUAAUUCGUUAUGUAAAGCUCUAUCAGCAGGGAAGAAAAUGACGGUAACUGAGUAAGAAGCCCCGGAUAACUACGUGCCAUCAGCCGCGGGAAUACGGAGGGGGCAAGCGGUAGCCGGAUUUACUGGGUGUAAAGGGAGCGUAGACGGCAGUGCAAGUCUGGAGUGAAAGGCGGGGGCUCAACCCCCGGACUGCUCUGGAAACUGUACGGCUGGAGUGCAGGAGAGGUAAGUGGGAUUCCUAGUGUAGCGGUGAAAUGCGUAGAUAUUAGGAGGAACACCAGUGGCGAAGGCGGCUUACUGGACUGUAACUGACGUUGAGGCUCGAAAGCGUGGGGAGCAAACAGGAUUAGAUACCCGGGUAGUC
rnacentral:rRNA from 1 species